GGAGUCCAGAGACACCAGGGUGGCUCAGGGGUUGGGUGCCUGCCUUUGGCCCAGAGCAUGAUCCUGGAGUCCCGGGAUGUAGUCCUGCAACAGGCUCCCUGCAUGGAGCCUGCUUCUCCCCUCUGCCUGUGUCUCUGCCUCUCUCUCUGUCUUUCUCAUAAAUAAAAUAUUUUUUAAAAGAGAGAGAGAGAGAGAGAGAAAGAGGAGUCCACAGGCUGAGCUCAGCCUCCUCUCUAGGCCCUACAGGAUUAUGUUAAUUUAUGUAAAAAGACACUAUUGUGGAGGAUAACUUAUAAAGGUGGGAACUUUAGCUAAAAAAACAUUUCUAAAAUGCCAAAAACAAGGUUGAAUACAAGGCUUGUGCAGGGGGACAUGGGAGAGAGUCCAGGCCAGAGAGAUCGAAGGAGAGGGAUAUCGCAAGCCCUUUCCUCUGCUGAUGAGGAAAGAACUGACACCAGCAAGCCACAUAUAGCAUGACCAGUGACCAGGCCCAAGAAAGAACUUGGAUCUGAGCAAAGGGGACCAGGAAUUUAGCCCAAAUGAGGGGUCUCUCAGCAAGACAGAGGUGGCUCUGGACUAAACUACUGCCGCCAGAGUUCCCUCUGUCACUGCAAUGUUCUCCCAAGCAGUGAGAAGACUAUGCAAAGCCACCAGGGUUCAUGCAUGAGCACUGUGCCAGCCACACAGGAUGGUGCAAGUCCCAGUGUCCCCAGAUGCUGGUCUAACAGUUUUGUGAUUUGAAGCAAGGCCUUCUAACCCUCAGAGCUUCACUUUCUGUGUCAGCAGGCUCUUCUUGGCAGCCCUGAUGAAGUACCAGCAAAAGGGUGUAGGGCCGACACUAGGUCACUACUUCUCCAGAGCCAGAGCCUUGAACAUAUGAGUGUGGAGGUCCCUCCACACUCAGACCUGUGAGGUCCAAAGAGGCCCCUGCUCCUAAGAGUUUGGUGAGGAUCCAGGGCCACCUGAUACCGCUUCCCAUCACCCAAGAAACCAGGAUCCCUGGGGCUUGGGGAUGCGGGGCCCAUGUGCCUGCUCACGCCUGCCUUUCCUCCUCCAGUAGCUGGAUGACUGAGAGACUACCCAUUCCCACCCUCCUCGCACCCGUGUCUUGUCCCUAGACACCAUGGGCGCUUGCCUGCUGUCCCUGAGAGGGCACGGGGUCUCUCCAUCCCAUCCGUUGUCUUGAUUUCCCAGGGUGGAACUGCUGUGGGUCCUCCGCGAAGGAACACAGCACGGCCACGAGAGGGCGCUGCUCCUCCUUGAAAUGCCGCUCCAACCUUCUCUGAACAUCCUGCACCCUGCUGAAGAGUUCCAAAUAAACGUUUAGAAAUG
rnacentral:lncRNA from 1 species